GACGAACGCUGGCGGCGUGCCUAAUACAUGCAAGUAGAACGCUGAAGAGAGGAGCUUGCUCUUCUUGGAUGAGUUGCGAACGGGUGAGUAACGCGUAGGUAACCUGCCUGGUAGCGGGGGAUAACUAUUGGAAACGAUAGCUAAUACCGCAUAAAAUGGAUUAUCGCAUGAUAAUCCAUUGAAAGGUGCAAAUGCAUCACUACCAGAUGGACCUGCGUUGUAUUAGCUAGUUGGUGGGGUAACGGCUCACCAAGGCGACGAUACAUAGCCGACCUGAGAGGGUGAUCGGCCACACUGGGACUGAGACACGGCCCAGACUCCUACGGGAGGCAGCAGUAGGGAAUCUUCGGCAAUGGACGGAAGUCUGACCGAGCAACGCCGCGUGAGUGAAGAAGGUUUUCGGAUCGUAAAGCCCUGUUGUAAGAGAAGAACGAGUGUGAGAGUGGAAAGUUCACACUGUGACGGUAUCUGACCAGAAAGGGACGGCUAACUACGUG
rnacentral:rRNA from 1 species